GAUGAAGAACGCAGUGAAAUGCGAUACGUAAUGUGAAUUGCAGAAUUCAGUGAAUCAUCGAGUCUUUGAACGCACAUUGCGCCCGCCAGUAUUCUGGCGGGCAUGCCUGUUCGAGCGUCAUUUCAACCAUCAAGCCCCCGGCUUGUGUUGGGGACCUGCGGCUGCCGCAGGCCCUGAAAACCAGUGGCGGGCUCGCUAGUCACUCCGAGCGUAGUAAUACAUCUCGCUCAGGGCGUGCUGCGGGUUCCGGCCGUUAAAAAGCCUUAUUUACCCAAGGUUGACCUCGGAUCAGGUAGGAAGACCCGCUGAACUUAAGCAUAUCAAUAAGCGGAGGA
rnacentral:misc_RNA from 1 species